rnacentral:tRNA from 1 species
AGGCCAAUAGCUCAGUUGGUAGAGCACUGGUCUCCAAAACCAGGUGUCGGGGGUUCGAGUCCCUCUUGGCCUG